rnacentral:lncRNA from 1 species
AAUCAACAGCUCUCUAGUAUUCUUUGGGUCUGAAAACUGGCAGCAGCUGGUGAGACUGAAAGUAGGUACUUUUUAAGGCAUUCACAUAUUUUCAAGGACCUGAUCUCUGGAAGUUGACAUGUCUAGGUUGGAAUGAGUUAAAGUCUCCUGGUAGAAUGGAAGACCUUACUGAAAUUAAAUUUUUGGACACUGGACCCAUCUAUUUUUUUGAUCAGAUAAAACCAAAAAGGAAAAUAUGGGAAAAGAGAAAAUGUGAAGACCACUUCCCCCUUUUGGAAUGCACUGAAGGAGCUAACUAUAAUCCUGCAAGGAGUAUAUUUAAAGAACUAGAGAAAGCAAGAUUUUCUACAGUAGCUGAAUCUGGGGAGAAAGAUGAGUUCAUCUCAUCUAGUGUCUCACAAACUUCUAGUGUUUCUAUGUUAUCUACUAAUUUUAAAUUUUCCAAACUACAACUGCAAAAGUCUCUAUUUGAAGAAUACAAACUCACUGCUGCUGAAAUACUGUACGAACUUGAGGAGAUAUUGCAGAAAUACACUGUGUAUAACAUUACUUUCCCUGUGGGAAUUGUAAAUCUUGUGGAUUACAGUUGGCACGAUCUUACUGCAGAUGCUUAUAAGUAUGCAACCAAAAAUCCUAUGUUGAAGAAACGUAGUGCCUUCCAAGAUGAUACCAAUAUCAUGACUAUGAUCGACUUAAAGGGAUACGAAAUCAACAGCUGCUCAAGAGAAGAAUAUCAUAAGAGGAACUGCCUGGUAAAAGUAAAAGAAGACCAUCAUGAUGCAGCAAGUAAACCUAUGGUAAAAACAUCUCUUGUCGACCAAAAGCAGUGUUCCCAGAUCUCCCAGGAUAGCAGUUUACCUGUUGUCACCCACUUCUCACUGACAUCCAAGAUUUGUUUAGAAAAUGGUUGGAUCCUACAGCAUCCUUCCUCAAAAUUGGAAAUUCUAAAAUUGAAGACAAUUCUUGAUAUUGCUGUGAAGAAACUACAAGUAGCCAUAAUGCAAAUAAAAACAGAAGAAGCUAAGCUAAGAAAAGAAGGAUUCAACAAACAGCUUAUCCUGAGCCACUAUAACGAGGAAGAGGUGAACACCAUCCCUGAAGAUUCCCAGUGUUUCUGGCUAGAGUUGCUGAGGAGGAGGACUAAUAUGCCGACAAUCAAGAAGCCUGACCAGAAUUUGAAAAAGUUCCAUUAUGCUCUGACAGAUGGUUCCUCUCUGACCUAAUAUCCUUGUGAAACGCCAAUGGUUGAAGAAGGAUGGGACGGGUCAGGAGUGGUAAAGGGGCAGCAGGUGGAGUGUUUCUGUUUCAGCAGAAAAUCCCAGAAGCAUUAAAAAAGGAG